GGCUCAGAAUCAACGCUGGCGGCGUGCCUAACACAUGCAAGUCGCACGAGAAAGCGGGCUUCGGCCUGCAAAGUACAAGUGGCGCACGGGUGAGUAACACGUGAAUUUAUCUACCUCCGAGUGGGGAAUAACCUAGAGAAAUCUGGGCUAAUACCGCAUAACACUUACGAGUCAAAGCAGCAAUGCGCUUGGAGAGGAGUUCGCGGCAGAUUAGUUAGUUGGCAGGGUAAUGGCCUACCAAGACGAUGAUCUGUAUCCGGCCUGAGAGGGCGCACGGACACACUGGAACUGAAACACGGUCCAGACUCCUACGGGAGGCAGCAGUGGGGAAUUUUGCGCAAUGGGGGAAACCCUGACGCAGCAACGCCGCGUGGAGGAUGAAAUCCCUUGGGAUGUAAACUCCUUUCGAUCGGGACGAUUAUGACGGUACCGGAAGAAGAAGCCCCGGCUAACUUCGUGCCAGCAGCCGCGGUAA
rnacentral:rRNA from 1 species